ACUGCUCAGUAACACGUGGAUAACCUGCCCUUGGGUCCGGCAUAACCCCGGGAAACUGGGGAUAAUUCCGGAUAACGCACAUAUGCUGGAAUGCUUUAUGCGUAAAAUGGAUUCGUCUGCCCAAGGAUGGGUCUGCGGCCUAUCAGGUAGUAGUGGGUGUAAUGUACCUACUAGCCAACAACGGGUACGGGUUGUGAGAGCAAGAGCCCGGAGAUGGAUUCUGAGACAUGAAUCCAGGCCCUACGGGGCGCAGCAGGCGCGAAAACUUUACAAUGCGGGAAACCGUGAUAAGGGGACACCGAGUGCCAGCACCAUAUGCUGGCUGUCCAGGUGUGUAAAAUACACCUGUCAGCAAGGGCCGGGCAAGACCGGUGCCAGCCGCCGCGGUAACACCGGCGGCCCGAGUGGUGAUCGUGAUUAUUGGGUCUAAAGGGUCCGUAGCCGGUUUGGUCAGUCCUCCGGGAAAUCUGACGGCUCAACCGUUAGGCUUUCGGGGGAUACUGCCAGGCUUGGAACCGGGAGAGGUAAGAGGUACUACAGGGGUAGGAGUGAAAUCUUGUAAUCCCUGUGAGACCACCUGUGGCGAAGGCGUCUUACCAGAACGGGUUCGACGGUGAGGGACGAAAGCUGGGGGCACGAACCGGAUUAGAUACCCGGGUAGUCCCAGCCGUAAACGAUGCUCGCUAGGUGUCAGGCAUGGCGCGACCGUGUCUGGUGCCGCAGGGAAGCCGUGAAGCGAGCCACCUGGGAAGUACGGCCGCAAGGCUGAAACUUAAAG
rnacentral:rRNA from 1 species